CUUCACAAAAAAAGACAUGUGAAAUCUGAGCCUUCAACAUGUGAAAAGCCAAUGCAAAUGAAUCCUAACCAAAGGAGAUCUAUAAUUUCUCUCUAGGUAUCCAUUAUAGCAGAGAAGACCGUUUAAAAGAGGCAACAUCGAGAUCUCUCACUGCCAAAGGCUACUGAAUAUUAGUGCUAAUGGAAGUUGAUGGGAUUGUCAAAUAUCUUGGGUUGGAUCUCUCCACUGAGAAAAAAAGACAUGGAGAUUUCUUCAAACCUAACAGUAAAACAACUCCAGAAGUUGACAAGCUACUCUCUCAGGGAACUAUGAGCCACGUGUCCACAGAUGGAUGCUGAAACCCUUUCAAUAUGGGAACUUCAGAAGUCCUUGUUGACAUCAUUUUAAGAUCUCUCUGUCUGAGGUGUGAUCAGGGAGCUUGCAGGGCAUUCAUCAGAAUCAAGCUGAUGCAAGCAUGAAUACUCACAGGAAAGGGCCCUUUUAUUCUGAAAACUGCUGAAGGCUGGAAAAGGGACUAAUUUAUUUAAAUUAGCACUCUAAGUGUCAAGCCCCAUAGUUUCUGGAAGAAUCUGACAACUAUGGGUUAAAGAAAGUUUUUCUUAAAUUUCCAAAUGAACCACUGCAAGGCUAAAAGUUAACCUAGAAAAUCAGAGUUACCUAGAAGUAAUCACUAUUGGUGUUGACACAGACUUUGGAAAAUAACAGUUUUCUGCUAUUAAGCUUUUAAAUGUCAGCAAAUGGCAGUUUGGUAGAUCAUUUGCUAAUAAUGAUUAAAUUUCUCAUUAAAAUGUUUCCUUCAUUAUUCUUCAGGUAGAAAUGUGUAAUUCAAUGAUUGUUACAUCAAUUAUACUUAAAAAGCUCAUUAAAAUACUGAAAUAUUAUCUCUCGUAGCCAGAGUACUUUAAGAGUACUGCACUAAUUACAAAAGGAAUAAACUCUUGUAAUAUCACCA
rnacentral:lncRNA from 1 species